UACGUAGGUGGCGAGCGUUGUCCGGAAUUAUUGUGCGUAAAGGGAGCGCAGGCGGUCUAAUAAGUCUGAUGUGAAAGGUCAUAGCUCAACUAUGGACGUGCAUCAGAAACUGUAAGACUUGAGUACUAGUGAGGGCAGUGGAACUCCAUGUGUAGCGGUGAAAUGCGUAGAUAUAUGGAAGAACAUCAGUGGCGAAGGCGGCUGUCUGGCUAGUAACUGACGCUGAGGCGCGAAAGCGGGGGGAGCGAACAGG
rnacentral:rRNA from 1 species